AAGAAACGACGCAACUGCCCCGUUCGGCGACCCGUUCGGCGAUCGCCGUCUGGGUCGCCGAAAAUGGCCGGUUUUGUUCUCGGAUUCGGCGAUCGCCGAAUAAUCCACCUUAGGCCAAAAAUCAGUCAGGGAAUUCGGCGACCUGGACGGCGAUCGCCGUCUGGGUCGCCGUUUGCACCCUUUAAACCUCUAAAAUUCGGCGGUCAACGCUCCUUUGACCGCCGAUCGCUCCUUUUUCGUCCCGACUCAGAAUCUUCGUCUUUUCUUGAUCUUUGGGCUCGAUUCUCUCAAAACUCUUCUCCUCAACAUGUUCCUUACACUCUAUGCUUCCAAAACACUCAAUUCUGCAUCCAAACAGUCAAAACUACACCCAAACGUGAAAUCACGAAAUAAUAGGCAAUAAACUCUAAACCAUAAUGAAACGGGUGUAAAAUUGACUUAAACUACAGAAUAUAUACCAUAAAAACCAUGCAAAAUGAGUGUUUAUCAACUCCCCCAAACUUAAGAUGUUGCUCGUCCUCGAACAACGAGAAGAACAAAACAAUAAACACGAAUGGGUAAGAUGAUUGGAUCAUCGAUGCCUCAGAAAAAUAAAACCUUUUCGAAUUCCCUCAAAUCCUCAAUACAGGAACACAAUAAUCAACAACAGGCAUAAUCAAUGGCAAAUUCAACCUUGACAUUCCAACAAUUGACUCUCAAGAUAAAAGUGUUUCACUCAACUCUCAAUUGAUGGAUAAAGGACGUGUAUCACUCAUCGAAACUCAUACAAUGCAGAUUACUUACCAUAUGCUUGCCACUUGUCUCAAAAUCUCCAUCGCUAAAAGUGUGUCAAGAGUAAGAUCAAAUAGGUCUUUAAUUUGGGUUCUAAUGUAGGGACAUUGGAUUAGGUAGGGAAAUUUGGCUAAGUGACUCAAUUAAAUUGAUUACACCAACCUUAUGACUUCACCAUUUAAGCAUGGAAUAAAUUCCAUCUUCUACCUAACAACAUCUUCAUAAUCAUCACAAAUCAAGGGGUAUAAUCAUCACAAAUCAUGCUAGACAUUCCUUUAUGCUCUCACUUUUCUAAUAACAACGAAGUCGAUUUCUCAUGAAUUUUUCAAUUAUCACUCGACUUUCUCAAACAACUUCCAUCAAAACUUCUUCCUUUUCUUUUUCUUUUUCUUGAGCUUAUAAGAAUGACUAGAAUCUUUUUCUUUCACCCCUUAUUUUCAAUAAACCCAUCACAAAUACCACAUAACGAUCCCCAUAAACUCCAUCACCCCCUAUCGUCCGGUUAAUGAAUAAAAGCUCAGAACGGCUCAAACACGGUUAACAAGGGAUUAAUGUUUUCAGGUUAGUGUUUGGGAUAUAACGUGGCUUACAAAAGAUGGCCUAAGAUCAUCUCAAACUCUUGAACACAACGAGCAACCUCGACCAAGACUCAUGGCAAGUUCUAGAAGUGCACUACAUGCAUGACAACUCUCAAAAACAAAGAACAAACUGCAAAAAUGGGCAGUUAAGGCUCAAUUACUCACCAGCUUGUUCAACGUCAAAAUUCAAGGCAAAAUCUACUCAUCAAUCACACUCAUCGGUUCAAAUCAUGUCACCAUAUCAAGAAAAAUUAGGAAUUACCUUCUUUUUCGCAGAAAUCUUCACAGGCACCUUACCAAACAACUAAAUGGAGCAACAACCAAUCAAAUAGCACAGAAAAUACGGAAUAAGUCUGAGAGAAUUAAUCAAUUUAGGUACAUGCCCACGAAUAAAAGAUCUAGAGAUUUCCUCACCAAAACAUCAAAAAGAACAGAAAAAUGAAAAAUGCUAGGCUAAAAAUGCAAACCAUAACUAAUCUCCAUCCCCCUCCCCCAAACUUAUUAAGGAGCUAAUGCUCGAAAAUAAGGUUGGAGGGAAAAAUAGAUAAAAGUUAUGGUUAGCAUACUUACUAAUCCUCAAGAUGGCGGUCCCUGUCUCCUCUGGAACUCCUGAAACUGUCUUAGGAGUUCCUCCUGCAUAGCCAUCUGCCUCGCAUACUCCUGUUGCUGCCUCUCCAUCUCCGCCCGCUGCCACGCCUCAAAAGCGCCAUAGUGAGCGAACUGCUCGCGCUGAUAGGCGUCCAUGGCUUGUUGCUGCAGUCUAACCGCUGUGACAUCAGUGCGCAUCACUGUGAGCUGCGCCUCUUGUUGCUCGGCGAAGGCCUGCAACCGCUGCAUCCUGUCAGUAAGAUCAGUCACAUCAAAAUGACGGACCCGGUCCCCAUUGGUCUCCUGCUGCGUCGGCGGCGGGUUCCUCUUGCACCUCUUCCUCCUCGUACACCUGCUGCGGGAUCUGCUCGUCCGCCGGCAUCCCUGCUACAGCCCUUACGUGGGCGUUUGUGUUCAUCAACCAGUUCUGCGUUUCAAAACGUCCGCCCACACGAGUAAGAGGCGGGUUCGGCAGGGGGAAGUGGUCGCCAUCAGUUUGCACCAAUUUGAAAGGUGGUUGGGCGCUCCUCAAGAAUCGCAUGUUGACCAACCGACGGGCAUUGAGCAGAUUGUCGCCCUCCAAAGCAUCCCACUGAGCGAUUGCGGGACAAAUGCGGCGUGCAAGGGGCGUUAUCAUCCCUCCAAUGGUGAUCACUCCUGCGGUAGUCCUAGAUGCCUUGAAUAUCUGCCUGAGGANUGAUCUACUAUUUUUAUAGACAACAAUAAACUGACAACUAAACAGUAUAAUUGUAGUACGAAAACAGCAAGCAGAGUAUCGUAUCCACAGAGACUGUAAACGAAAUUACUCUAUCUACUUCCUAAACAGACUCUCACAGUAUGCAGGUAAAACGAAUUUGAAGGUGAAUUACGAACUAAGAUUAACUAAAUAAAACUAAAGAGCAUGUAAACUAUAAUAAUUAACUCAAAUAUAUGGAAAACUCUGACCCUAGGGAUGUACUUUCACUAAUCAACUACAUGUAUUUAACCUAUUGAUUCAAUUACCAAUUUUAAUCCAACCCUGAUGAAAGAUCACUAUAUUAUUCACAAGCGUCUCUAACGACCACCUAUGAACGUAGAUUAAUUAAUCCCUUUUCGCAUUCAAGACUCCAAGGAAUAAAUUAACUCCAAAUAGCACAUAAAGAAUAGCUUCCUAUAGCUUCACCUAUCGCAUUCAAGACUCAAGGUUAACACUAUAUCAUGCAUUCCUGAAUCGGCUGAACAAUUAUCGCAUUCAAGACUCAAAUUGAACAGCUAAACAUGUAAAUCAUUGAUCAGAUAAUUCACAAGAGAACAGGCACCAGGAAUCAUGAAUCAUAAGUUGGAAGGCAAAUUGAUAUCAAUAAAUCAAAAACACAUAAUCAAUCAGCUAUGUACAAACCCUAGGUUCAGAUUAAAAGAUUAGCCAGACAUAAUAAAAUCAAACAUAAAAAUAAUUAAAUUGAACGCAAUUGUAAAAACAAAUUGUAUAAAACCGAAUUAAAACGAUUGUAGCGGCUUGAAUCUUCAAUCCUGAUCCAAGCCUUGAAAACUGGAAAGCUCAAAAGUUCUAAAGCUAUAAAACUGUAAUAUGAAUGUUAAGAACUGAAAAACUAAAGCUGGGAACCCUAGAUAGGUCUAAAGAGGACCUAUUUAUAGUCUUAGGGUGAAAAACCAAGUUCUAAACCGAAAAUAACUUGAAAAAUCGUAAAAACGCGGAAGAAAAUAAAACACGCGGUCAAUUCGGCGGCCCGUUCGGCGGUCGCCGAAUGGGUCGCCGAAAUCUGGCCGUUUUACUCAUGGAUCGGCGAUCGCCGUUUUUGCAGCUCUAGGCCAAAAUUGAGUCAGGGUUUUCGGCGACCUGGCCGGCGGUCGCCGUUCUGGUCGCCGUUUUACUCUUAAACCUAAUUCGGCGGUCAACGCUCCUUUGACCGCCGAUCGCUCCUUUUCCGUCCCGACUCCAGAAUCUUCGUCUUUUCUUGAUCUUUGGGCUCGAUUCUCUCAUAACUCUUCUCUUCAACAUGUCCUUAUACUCCAUGCUUCCAAAUCACUCAAUUCUGCAUCCAAACAGUCAAAACUACACCCAAACGUGAAAUCACGAAAUAAUAGGCAAUAAACUCUAAACCAUAAUGAAACGGGUGUAAAAUCGACUUAAACCACAGAAUAUAAACCAUAAAAACUAUGCAAAAUGAGUGUUUAUCAACUCCCCCAAACUUAAGAUGUUGCUCGUCCUCGAACAACGAGAAGAACAAAACAAUAAACACGAAUGGGUAAGAUGAUUGGAUCAUCGAUGCCUCAGAAAAAUAAAACUUUUCGAAUUCCCUCAAAUCCUCAACACAGGAACACAAUAAUCACAACAAGCAUAAUCAAUGGCAAAUUCAACCUUGACAUUCCAACAAUUGACUCUCAAGAUAAAAGUGUUUCACUCAACUCUCAAUUGAUGGAUAAAGGACGUGUAUCACUCAUCGAAACUCAUGCAAUGCAGAUUACUUACCAUAUGCUUGCCACUCGUCUCAAAAUCUCCAUCGCUAAAAGUGUGCCAAGAGUAAGAUCAAAUAGGUCUUUAUUUUAGGUUCUAAUGUAGGGACAUUGGAUUAGGUAGGGAAAUUUGGCUAGUGACUCAAAUAAAUUGAUUACACCAACCUUAUGACUUCACCAUUAAGCAUGGAAAAAUUCCAUCUUCACCUAACACAUCUUCAUAAUCAUCACAAAUCAAGGGGUAUAAUCAUCACAAAUCAUGCUAGACAUUCUUUUAUGCUCUCACUUUUCUAAUAACAACGAAGUCGAUUUCAUGAAUUUUUCACUUAUCACUCGACUUUCUCAAACAACUUUCAUCACAAAUUAUCUUCUUCUUUUUUUUUUUUUUUUUUUCUUGAGCUUAUAAGAAUGACUAGAAUAUUUUUCUUUCACCCCUUAUUAUCAAUCAACCCAUCACAAAUACCACACAACGAUCCCUAUAAACUCCAUUACCCCCUAUCGUCCGGUUAAUGAAUCAAAUCUUAGAAAGGCUCAAACACGGUUAACAAGGGAUUAAUGUUUUUCAGGAAAGUGUUUGGGAUAUAACGUGGCUUACAAAAGAUGGCCUAAGAUCAUCUCAAACUCUUGAACACAACGAGCAACCUCGACCAAGACUCAUGGCAAGUUCUAGAAGUGCACUACAUGCAUGAUAACACUCAAAAACAAAGAACAAACUGUAAAUAUGGGCAGUUAAGGCUCAAUUCCUCACCAGCUUGUUCAACGUCAAAAUUCAAGGCAAAAUCUACUCAUCAAUCACACUCAUCGGUUCAAAUCAUGUCACCAUAUCAAGAAAAAUUAGGAAUUACCUUCUUUUUCGCAGAAAUCUUCACAGGCACCUUACCAAACAAUCAAAUGAAGCAACAACCAAUCAAAUAGCAACGAUUUAGAAUAAGUCUGGGAGAAUUAAUCAAUUUAGGUACAUGCCCACGAAUAAAAGAUCUAGAGAAUUUCCUCACCAAAACAUCAAAAAGAACAGAAAAAUGCUAGGCUAAAAAUGCAAACCAUAACUAAUCUCCAUCCCCCUCCCCCAAACUUAUUAAGGAGCUAAUGCUCGAAAAUAAGGUUGGAGGGAAAAAUAGAUAAAAGUUAUGGUUAGCAUACUUACUAAUCCUCAAGAUGGCGGUCCCUGUCUCCUCUGGAACUCCUGAAACUGUC
rnacentral:lncRNA from 1 species